AAGUGCAAAAAGAGAGGGCACUACAAGAGGGACUGCCCAGAAUUCCUGAAAGAGUUGUUAAGAAAGGGGAUCAAGUAUGAGGAGGACCCUGCCAAGAGGCGCAAGAAGAAUUAAAGUUGCAAACGGUGUAGAAGCUGAAGUCGAAGCCAUUGCAGAAUUUCAUUUAGAAUUACAUAGUGGCUUUGUACUUUGUUUGAGAGAUGUUCUUUAUGUACCGUCUUUGCAACGAAACUUAAUAAGUGUGUCUAAAUUAGAUGAUGACGCUAUUGCUUGUCAUUUUGGUGAUGGCAAGUGUAAGAUACAAGUUAAUUCAGAAUGUGUUGGUCUUGCCUUCCGACAAGACAAAUUAUAUUUGCUUUCAUUA